CCCCAGAGAAAGACAGCACUGCACACGUUGCAAAACACGUUGCUUUUCAACUCGACGUCACUUUGCCGGGGAGGUUGGCAGGAUUCUGUGAGACAGAUUCACGCAAUCUCCGCACGGAUGGAAGCUUUUGAACCGCUGCCAAGAAGUGUGUGCACUAUUUGGAGUGCACAAUGUGAGAAAGCGUUAACGACUUCCAAAGUUUUGGGACUAUUUAUAGUCUCUUGGUUGUCUCCCGUCAAGGCAUGCUGAGUCACGUAACUGCUGCGUUGUAACCUUGCUGCUGUUAUCAGCAGAAGCAUCAAGAAGGGCCAUGUCCUCCUCGCCCCUCUAGCAUCUCUUCUUGGGGCGGCUUCUAAGCGAGAGGUUUGGCAACGUUUUUCCAGCUGUUGCCAUUGUAAUAUAGAAUUUACUUUAUCGUGGAAUGGGAUAAAUCUGAUUUAAAAAAAAAAUUAUUGCACUGGGCAAAUUUUGGACUUCAAUUCGAGAAAUUAUAUUUUUGAAUUAAAAUUUGAUAAAACUA